UUUCAUUUGGAAAGAUGGGUUUGCUAGUUAGCGUAGCGAGCUAAUCACAAGGUCAAAAUAUAGCCAUACUGAUAGAUACACUGCCGAAGGAUUAAGGUGGGCUGAAAUGGUACAGUGAGCUAAAAAGCAGGUAGCGCAAGCUAACUUUGAAUGAAAAUACCUUGAUAAUUCUGAAAGUUUGGCAACAGAGGGACAACUAUGAUAGCAAGUUUACAGCAUAUUUAGUCUCCAGGCAUAUCUUUAUAAAUUUAUUUCAUUUUGGUGUUAACAUAUCAUCUUUAUUUCUCUGGUAGUCACUGUAGAACCAUUUAAGCCCAGCAUGUUCCAUUUAAGCCCAUCUCAUGUGUUUCAAUAGGAAAUUCCUGAAAUUAUGAGUUUGAUAGGAAUUUUUGAUGUAAAGAUUUUGUAAUUUUGUAAUUUUGACUGUAAUCCUGUGAUUUUGAUGUUCUUUUACCUUACUGACUCCAUUAACAAGAGUACAUCACAGAUCGCACACUGGCCAGAAGUAUUGUUAUGCAACCUAAUUUGCAUAAUAAUUUGUUUACAGUGAGAAAAAUGACAACAAAAAGGAAGAAUUACAGCAGUUGUCCUAAAAUCAUUGAGGACAAUGUCGGAGGUUCAUCCUUUGCCGGGCUAACCUGCAGGGUGUGGCCCUUUUCACCUGGCAAACCACCAAGAAAUCGAAAUGCUGUACAAAAAGACACUAAAAGCAAUGAAAGGAAUAAUAGAACCCAAACGCAGAGAGAGGCAGGCAGGCAGGAGGAAGUUGGUCUUGAGGAUUUAUUGUGAACGAAAAACGACAGUACAGAGACUGGAAAAACUCACUGGGAAAACUCACAAGAACAAAAGAACACAGGGAAGAUUCCAACAAAGGCACAUGGCUGAGACACACUGACAGGAACAAGCAGACAGGGCACAAACUGACCGGACGAUGGCACAAAACGAGCUGACAAGACAAAGGAAACACAGAGGCUAAAUAAACUAGUUUCAUGCGAGAAUAUUCCUUGCAGAAUGCAACCAAAUGCAGCCAACAUACCCCAAGCAGAAGAACCAGAAAAGAUGGAGUGGACAAUACUCAACAAAUUUUAUGACAUAAGUUUUCCUGAUGAUGAGCAAUUUUAUCAAACAGAUUAUCUGCUCAUCACCAGCACGCCUGACUCCACUCUUAUUCCAGCCCCUGAGGAGCCCAACCUUUCACUGACUGCACUAAAGUUCACCAUUGCUCCAGUGACAGACCACACAAUUCCUCCAGUCACACCAGACUUCUUUCUUGUUCCAGCCCCUGAGGAGCCCAUUCUUCCAGUGACUGCACCUAGGCCCGCCGUUGCACUACUGGCCAGACCCCACCCUUCCUACAGUCACACUGCACUUCACCCUUGCUUCAGCCCCAGGGGACAACAGCAUGCCCACCAUUGCUGAAGCCACACAGCCCACUCUUGCUCCUCCCCCAGAGACAACUCACAUUAAGAGAGCCCUCUGGGGCAAGUACUGGGACGCGCCAUACACAGAGAAACGUUUCAUGUUUCACAGUGUGAACCAUGCACCAACUGCAAAAGUCUGUGGUGAUGGAAACAUAAGUUGGUGGGGCAGGUCUUUUAUAUACAGGCUAAAUGAUGAAGGCCAGGUCCCACAGCAGGUGUGCAAAAGUUUCUAUCAACUUUAGGGUACCACCAGACUAACGACAGCCUGGUUCUCUCAGUAAUAGGCAAAGAGAUCAUAACCUCUCUUGCUCCACCAAAGGAUCAGAGAGGAAAACAUACACCAGGCAACAAGCUGGACAUGAAACCAUUGCUGGACCACAUUGAGUCCGUCCACCCAACCAACAGCCACUACUGGAGGGAGCGUGCCCCAUGCCGCCGCUACCUCCCCAGCAACAUUAGUGUUAAAUUAUUGUAUGCUGACUAAGUAGAAAAAGGCAACAACUGCUCCUAUGAGUCUUAUCAUAAAGCUGUGAAGUUAGCAACAUAAGCUUUACUAAGCUUGGAGAGGAGGAGUGUGAGAGCUGUCUUCUGUAGCAACAGCACGUGAGGGCUGACCACCAGGGGGAGCCUGCAUCAAAUUGCCCACAGUGCGAGAGGUGGCAAAAACAUAAAGAUGCUGCUGCAGAGAGCCGGUUACACUACAGGUCUGAUGCAGAAAGGGACUGCCCUGAAGAUACUUCAAUCAGAAGUGUAGACCUGCAGAAGCUUAUAAUGCUCCCUAGAAAUCAGCCGUGUUCACAACACGGAUCGUGCCAUAUCAUGAAACCUUUGCAUCAGUUGGGAAAAAGCCGAACAAAAACAAGACCAUCUCUGUUGUUUGGCACGAGGGGAUUGCAGGGCAGAAUGCUAAAGAAAUCACAUUGGCUUAUGCAGCGGCAUUGGAGAAGGAGCGGGACAUCAAGCACUUGGUCUACUGGGUAGACAAUUGUAGCGCUAAAAAUAAAAACUGGUGCCUUUUCUCUUCACUUGUGUCCUUAAUUAAUUCAGGCAACAUCUGUAUAGAAGACAUCACCCUUAAAUUCUUUGAGCCACAUUUACGAGUGCAGACAGUUUCCAUCAUGGUGUGGAGCCGGAAAUGAAGAGCAGACCAGGAGGGGUGGUCUACGAUUUCGAAGACUUCCUCUCUGUGGUGGGAGAUUCCAAUGCAAAGAAAGUUGAGGUGGUGGAGCUCAGAAACCAAAGCAUCAGGGACUGGACAGAUGGCCAUUCUGCAGUUAAGGGGAAGAAGAUACCCAAACUGGCAGAACUUAAAGUUGACCAGGUGGCUCAAGGAGCAUGUUUGCGAAGAUCUCCCAUGAGGAGGAGGACUAUCGAGAGCUGGAUUUCCUGCAAAAUAAAUAUCAACUAAAAAUAUCCACCACUUUAAGGCCACAGGACAUGGGCAUAGAAGAUGUCAAAAAGACAUAUCCUCAAAAAGCUGGUUCCCCUCAUGCCACCCACCAGGAGGCUGUUCUGGAACUCUCUGCCUGUAAGCAACACCGAGGAAUGGAAAUGGGGGAGAAAACAGGAAAAUCACCAAGAGUAAUGGUCCUCAUUGUUUCUUUGAAGAACAAAGGGAACAGUUACAUGUCACAGUUACAUGUUACAGGUUUUACAUUCAUCUUAGUGUUUUCGGAUUGUUUUCUAGAUGUUCUAAAUGCCCAACUCUUUUCUAGUCUUUAUAGUCUUCAAUUAUUUUCUUUUUCUUCCUAUUUUAUGUUUAA